GGCUGACACACUGACACUGUUUCUUCUCCUACAGGCCAGCAGAGUAAAGCCUAAACCCCAGUCAGAGCUCAUGGCUGCAGGAUUGUGCAGUGAAAGAUCACCAUUCUUGGACAGACAUAAGAAGAUAACCCCUGCUACUGACAAGUGGGCUCUGAUACCCUCUCCUCGGAACCCACCUCAUGCUGUGUAUCUCUUGUCCUGAGAGCCUGACUGUGAUCUUAUCUGUCUACUCAUGUAGUUAUUAAAAAUUUUAAUAAAUGUCUUAGUCCCAGCAAUCCA